GGCCCGACGGUCGUAAGCGACGAGUCAGCUACUUCUACGAGCCAACGAUCGGUAACUACUACUACGGUCAAGGCCACCCCAUGAAGCCUCACCGGAUCCGUAUGGCUCAUAGUCUAAUCGUCCACUACAACCUCCACCGCCGCCUCGAGAUCAGCCGCCCUUACCUCGCCGACGCUGCCGACAUCGGUCGCUUCCACUCUCCCGAGUACGUCGAUUUCCUCCGCUCCGUUUCGCCGGAGUCCGUCGGCGAUUCGUCCGCGCGUAACCUAAGGCGAUUCAAUGUCGGCGAGGAUUGUCCCGUCUUCGACGGUCUUUUCGAGUUUUGCCGCGCUUCCGCCGGAGGUUCGAUCGGCGCCGCCGUUAAAUUGAACCGGCAGGACGCGGAUAUCGCCAUCAAUUGGGGCGGUGGGCUUCACCACGCUAAGAAGAGCGAGGCGUCUGGGUUUUGCUACGUAAACGACAUCGUUUUGGGGAUUCUCGAGUUGCUUAAGAUGUUUAGGGUAAAAUGCUUGAUCUCAAUUAGGGUUUUAAUGUUAUAUUUGUAGAGUCGUUUUUGUUAAUUUACCAUAAAGCUUGAAGCUUUUUGGUACUGAUGCUACGUAAACGACAUCGUUUAGGGAUUCUCGAGCUGCUUAAGUUGUUCAGGGUAAAUGCUUGAUCUCAAUUAAUGUUAUCUUGUGGAGUAGUUUUCCUAGAUUUACCUGAAAGGUGGAAGCUUUUUGGGACUGAUGAUUUGAAUUUUAAUUAGGGUUUAAUGUUAUUGUAUUCUGAUAGAGAUUAAUAACUCUAAUAUGCUUUCAUCGUUUGCAGCGGGUUCUCUACAUUGAUAUCGAUGUUCACCAUGGAGAUGGAGUAGAGGAAGCGUUUUACACCACUGAUAGAGUUAUGACCGUUUCUUUUCACAAGUUUGGGGACUUCUUCCCUGGAACUGGUCACAUCAGAGACGUUGGCGCUGAGAAAGGGAAGUACUAUGCUCUCAAUGUCCCGUUGAACGAUGGUAUGGACGAUGAGAGUUUCCGCAGCUUGUUUAGACCUCUUAUCCAGAAGGUUAUGGAGGUUUAUCGGCCAGAAGCAGUUGUUCUUCAGUGCGGGGCUGACUCCUUGAGCGGUGAUCGGCUGGGUUGCUUCAACUUGUCAGUCAAGGGCCAUGCUGAUUGCCUCCGGUUCUUGAGAUCUUAUAAUGUUCCUCUCAUGGUCUUGGGUGGUGGAGGGUAUACUAUUCGGAAUGUUGCUCGUUGCUGGUGUUAUGAGGUUUUUUUUCAUAUCUUUUGCAUUUCUUCUAUGCCUUUUUUGGUAAAGUUUUUGUUCUUGAAAGGUUUUGGUUUCUGUUGACUCUGUUGCAGACUGCAGUUGCGGUUGGAGUAGAGCCGGACAACAAGCUACCGUACAAUGAGUACUUUGAGUAUUUCGGUCCAGACUAUACGCUUCAUGUCGAGCCAGGCCCAAUGGAGAAUUUGAACACACCAAAAGAUAUGGAGAGGAUAAGGUAUGAUGAUCUCAUUCUACCCCUUUUAUGGUUGUGCCGGUUCCAAUUGUUCACGGAAGCUUUACAUGCUCAUAGCCUAUAUUUUGAACUUGGGGAAGUUAAACUUGUUGAAAAUUUCAGGAACACUUUUUCUUUCAAAUUUUCUUUUCGUAAUUCGAAAUACUUUUUGAAACUAUUUUUCAAAUUUUUAUUUUCAAAUUUUUAAUAUUUAUUUUUCUUUUAUACAAUUUUAAAAUUUGAUCUCAAAUCUCUAUCCCUUAACUCUAAAUCUUCGGGUUUGGAUUAGUUAAGGAGCUAUAAUUGUAUAUUUAUUUAUUUUAAUGAAAUAUUUUGGUAAUUUUAAUCUUUUUAUACUUCUAUAUAUAAUAAGUCAUGUAAUUAUAAAGGUAUAUUAUUUUAACCAAGCCUCACUACUUUGUCCAAAGACUUGAGAGGAAAAAAACUCGAGAGGAGAGAAAGGAAGGGCGACAUGGAGACAGACGAGAGCGGCGUCUCUUUAGCGUCAGGGCCCGACGGUCGUAAGCGACGAGUCAGCUACUUCUACGAGCCAACGAUCGGUAACUACUACUACGGUCAAGGCCACCCCAUGAAGCCUCACCGGAUCCGUAUGGCUCAUAGUCUAAUCGUCCACUACAACCUCCACCGCCGCCUCGAGAUCAGCCGCCCUUACCUCGCCGACGCUGCCGACAUCGGUCGCUUCCACUCUCCCGAGUACGUCGAUUUCCUCCGCUCCGUUUCGCCGGAGUCCGUCGGCGAUUCGUCCGCGCGUAACCUAAGGCGAUUCAAUGUCGGCGAGGAUUGUCCCGUCUUCGACGGUCUUUUCGAGUUUUGCCGCGCUUCCGCCGGAGGUUCGAUCGGCGCCGCCGUUAAAUUGAACCGGCAGGACGCGGAUAUCGC
rnacentral:lncRNA from 1 species